AUUGAACGCUGGCGGCAGGCCUAACACAUGCAAGUCGAGCGGAGCGGCGGACGGGUGAGUAAUGCCUGGGAAUCUGCCUGGUAGUGGGGGAUAACGUCCGGAAACGGGCGCUAAUACCGCAUACUAUCAGAUGAGCCUAGGGCGGAUUAGCUAGUUGGUGGGGUGAAGGCCUACCAAGGCGACGAUCAGUAACUGGUCUGAUAGGAUGAUCAGUCACACUUGAACUGAGAAACGGUCCAGACUCCUACGGGAGGCAGACGUGGGGAAUAUUGGACAAUGGGCGAAAGCCUGACACAGCCAUGCCGCGUGGGUGAAGAAGGUCUUCGGAUUGUAAAGGUUUUUAAGUUGGGAGGCGUUACCAACAGAAUAAGCACCGGCUAACUUCGUGCCAGCAGCCGCGGUAAUUC
rnacentral:rRNA from 1 species